rnacentral:piRNA from 1 species
UCCGUCUUACUUUUCAAAAUCUCCCGAAGA